GGGGGCGAUUUGGAUUCGACUCUUGCAGACAGCAGCCUGUGGCAAGCCGAGGACUGGACCCGUUGGCCUCGUUAAAUCCCCGGGUAUCCAAACAUAACUGCUAACGAAGAGUUGGCUCUCGCGGCCUAAUUAAAUACGGCCCGACGUUCCGCCCCUGACUCCGGCUGGGGGGAUUGGAGCGACAUCAGCCGGACCACGGCAGGGGUGGGUCCCCGACCUUUGCCGGGGAAUCAACGUGGAGGCUAAGGCCGCCGGGCCCGUGGCUGGGCAACCGGUGGCACAAAAAUCCAGCAGCCACUAAGCUUGUAGAGGCAGGCCGCUGCCGGCCUGAGGACGCGGGUUCGACCCCCGCCGCCUCCACUU
rnacentral:tmRNA from 1 species